UUGGAGGGCAAGUCUGGUGCCAGCAGCCGCGGUAAUUCCAGCUCCAAUAGCGUAUAUUAAAGUUGUUGCAGUUAAAAAGCUCGUAGUUGAAUAUCUGGCCGGUGCUGUUCUUGGCUCCCUGAGUCGGCUCAGCGCCUGGUCAUCCGUAUGGGAAACUAGUUCGACCUUCACUGGUCGGCUAGUGGAUCAUACACUUUACUUUGAAAAAAUUAGAGUGUUUCAGGCAGGCAAUUGCUUGGAUACUGUAGCAUGGAAUAAUGGAAUAGGACUUUGACCUAUUUGUUGGUUUCUC
rnacentral:rRNA from 1 species